rnacentral:rRNA from 1 species
GACGAACCGUGCAAACGUUGUUCGGAAUCACUGGGCUUAAAGGGCGCGUAGGCGGGCUCGCCAGUCAGGGGUGAAAGCCCACGGCUCAACCGUGGAAGUGCCUUUGAUACUGCGAGUCUCGAGGGAGGUAGGGGCGUGCGGAACUUCCGGUGGAGCGGUGAAAUGCGUAGAUAUCGGUUGGAACGCCAAUGGUGAAAACAGGUUGCUGGGAGUGCGCUGACGCUGAGACACGAAAGCCAGGGGAGCGAACGGG